GUGGGGAAUUUUGGACAAUGGGCGCAAGCCUGAUCCAGCAAAGCCGCGUGCAGGAAGAAGGCCUUCGGGUUGUAAACUGCUUUUGUACGGAACGAAACGGUCCUGGUUAAUACCUGGGGCUAAUGACGGUACCGUAAGAAUAAGCACCGGCUAACUACGUGCCAGCAGCCGCGGUAAUACGUAGGGUGCGAGCGUUAAUCGGAAUUACUGGGCGUAAAGCGUGCGCAGGCGGUGCUGUAAGACAGGCGUGAAAUCCCCGGGCUCAACCUGGGAAUUGCGCUUGUGACUGCAGUGCUGGAGUACGGCAGAGGGGGAUGGAAUUCCGCGUGUAGCAGUGAAAUGCGUAGAUAUGCGGAGGAACACCGAUGGCGAAGGCAGUCCCCUGGGCCUGUACUGACGCUCAUGCACGAAAGCGUGGGGAGCAAACAGGAUUAGAUACCCGAGUAGUCC
rnacentral:rRNA from 1 species